rnacentral:rRNA from 1 species
ACUCCUACGGGAGGCAGCAGUGGGGAAUAUUGGACAAUGGGCGAAAGCCUGAUCCAGCAACGCCGCGUGAGGGAUGACGGCCUUCGGGUUGUAAACCUCUUUCAGCGGGGACGAAGCGAAAGUGACGGUACCCGCAGAAGGAGCACCGGCCAACUACGUGCCAGCAGCCGCGGUAAUACGUAGGGUGCAAGCGUUGUCCGGAAUUAUUGGGCGUAAAGGGCUCGUAGGCGGUUUGUCACGUCGGGAGUGAAAACUCAGGGCUCAACCCUGAGCGUGCUUUCGAUACGGGCAGACUAGAGGUAUUCAGGGGAGAACGGAAUUCCUGGUGUAGCGGUGGAAUGCGCAGAUAUCAGGAGGAACACCGGUGGCGAAGGCGGUUCUCUGGGAAUUACCUGACGCUGAGGAGCGAAAGCAUGGGGAGCGAACAGGAUUAGAUACCCUGGUAGUCCAUGCCGUAAACGUUGGGCGCUAGGUGUGGGACCCUUCCACGGGUUCCGUGCCGCAGCUAACGCAUUAAGCGCCCCGCCUGGGGAGUACGGCCGCAAGGCUAAAACUCAAAGGAAUUGACGGGGGCCCGCACAAGCGGCGGAGCAUGCUGAUUAAUUCGAUGCAACGCGAAGAACCUUACCUGGGUUUGACAUAUGCCGUUUACCCAUAGAGAUAUGGGGUCAUUUAGUUGGCGGUUUACAGGUGGUGCAUGGUUGUCGUCAGCUCGUGUCGUGAGAUGUUGGGUUAAGUCCCGCAACGAGCGCAGCCCUCGUCCUAUGUUGCCAGCACGUAAUGGUGGGGACUCAUAGGAGACUGCCGGGGUCAACUCGGGGGAAGGUGGGGAUGACGUCAAAUCAUCAUGCCCCUUAUGUCCAGGGCUUCAAGCAUGCUACAAUGGCCGGUACAAAGGGCUGCGAAACCGCAAGGUAGAGCGAAUCCCAAAAAGCCGGUCUCAGUUCGGAUUGGGGUCUGCAACUCGACCCCAUGAAGUCGGAGUCGCUAGU